rnacentral:rRNA from 1 species
GUGCCAGCCGCCGCGGUAAUACGGAGGAGGCAAGCGUUAUCCGGAAUGAUUGGGCGUAAAGCGUCCGUAGGUGGCUGUUCAAGUCUGCUGUCAAAGACAGUGGCUUAACUACUGAAAGGCAGUGGAAACUGAACAGCUAGAGUGCGGUAGGGGCAGAGGGAAUUCCCGGUGUAGCGGUGAAAUGCGUAGAUAUCGGGAAGAACACCGGUGGCGAAAGCGCUCUGCUGGGCCGCAACUGACACUGAGGGACGAAAGCUAGGGGAGCGAAUGGGAUUAGAUACCCCUGUAGUCCG